UACGGAGGGGGCGAGCGUUAUUCGGAAUUAUUGGGCGUAAAAGGGCGCGUAGGCGGCUGUACAAGUCAAAGGUGAAAUCCCUCGGCUCAACUGAGGAACUGCCUUUGAAACUGUACGGCUUGAGGCCGGGAGGGGGUAGCGGAAUUCCCAAUGUAGCGGUGAAAUGCGUAGAUAUUGGGAGGAACACCAGUGGCGAAGGCGGCUACCUGGACCGGUUCUGACGCUGAGGCGCGAAAGCGUGGGUAGCAAACAGG
rnacentral:rRNA from 1 species